rnacentral:rRNA from 1 species
AUGGACGCCGAGCUUGAGGUUCUUGGAGAAAGCCUCAUAGAACUUGUUGUAGUCCUCCUUGUUCUCAGCAAUCUCAAAGAAGAGCUCGAUGCACUUCUUCACAAGGUUCUUCCUGAUGACCUUGAGGAUCUUGUUCUGCUGGAGUGUCUCACGAGAGAUGUUGAGGGGAAGAUCCUCAGAGUCAACAAUGCCCUUGACAAAGCUCAGCCACUCUGGGAUCAGCUCCUCACAGUUGUCCAUGAUGAAGACACGGCGCACAUAGAGCUUAAUGUUGUUGAGCUUCUUCCUGGUGUCAAAGAGGUCAAAGGGGGCCCUCUUGGGAACGAAGAGGACGGCCUUGAACUCAAGCUGACCCUCCACCGAGAAGUGCUUGACGGCAAGGUGCUCCUCCCAGUCGUUUGUCAGGCUCUUGUAGAAGGCAGCAUACUCAUCCUUGGUGAUCUCCUCAGGCUUCCUCAUCCAGAUGGGCUUCUGCUUGUUGAUCAGGUUCCACUCGUGAGAAACCUCCUUGAUCUUCUUCUUUUUCUUCUCCUUUUCUUCCUUCUCUUCAUCAAUUUCCUCAACCUUGCCCUCCUCAGUAUCCUUCUUCUCAUCCUCAUCUUCAUCGUCAGAAAUUUCCUUCUCAGUGGUCUUCUCCGUCCAGAGAGAGAUGGGAUAGCUGAUGAACUCAGAGUGCUUCUUCACCAGAUCCUUGAGGCGACGCUCCUCAAGAAGGUGUUGAUGAUGAGCGAGAGCAGCUGGUUGAUCUCGGCCUGGAAGGCGAAGGUCUCGGUCUCCGAAGCCAUGGCGCCGCCGGCACCGGAAGCUCCUGGAACGCGCGCGCUGGGGUUGGGAGGAGAGGAGAUGGCUUAG